CCUUUUAACCGGUAAUUUUUAACAUAAUUUGAUAGAAAUUUUCAAAGAUUGAGAUAAUAUUCACGAUCUUAUAAUGUUAUUCAUCAAACUUAUUGGUUUAAUUAUAAUCAUCAUACUUAUUAGUUGCAAUUUAGUAUUACUUGAUGGUUUUUCUUUGAUUCUUUGUUCGUGUUAUAAUGCUAAUCAUCAAUCGGAUUGGUAGAAUUUUACAUUAUUUUGUUGCAGGCUAAUCCGGAUCUUCACUUCACUGUGGCUCACUUCUACCUCCUUCUUCUAAUGAAAAAUCAAAAAAAAUAAGAGAUCAUCAUUCAACGCGUUCGAUUGGACCCGCUCGAUUGGACCCGGAAACGUCUCUCCUCUCAUCCAGACUUUAAUUGGUUGAGGUCUAAAUCGUGUCGACAAUUUGAGGUGCCCGAUCGUUUGUUCGUGUCUGGAUUCGAUAAUCAGGAUGGAGGAUAUUCGUUUUGG